rnacentral:rRNA from 1 species
AGUGAACGCUGGCGGUAGGCCUAACACAUGCAAGUCGAACGGCAGCACAGUAAGAGCUUGCUCUUACGGGUGGCGAGUGGCGGACGGGUGAGGAAUACAUCGGAAUCUACUUUUUCGUGGGGGAUAACGUAGGGAAACUUACGCUAAUACCGCAUACGACCUACGGGUGAAAGCAGGGGAUCUUCGGACCUUGCGCGAUUGAAUGAGCUGAUGUCGGAUUAGCUAGUUGGCGGGGUAAAGGCCCACCAAGGCGACGAUCCGUAGCUGGUCUGAGAGGAUGAUCAGCCACACUGGAACUGAGACACGGUCCAGACUCCUACGGGAGGCAGCAGUGGGGAAUAUUGGACAAAGGGCGCAAGCCUGAUCCAGCCAUACCGCGUGGGUGAAGAAGGCCUUCGGGUUGUAAAGCCCUUUUGUUGGGAAAGAAAAGCAGCAGGUUAAUACCCCGCUGUUCCGACGGUACCCAAAGAAUAAGCACCGGCUAACUUCGUG